UACUUUGCAUUAACCUAAUAAAGAUAAAAAUAAAUAAAUAAAAACAUCUCCAAUUUUUUUUUUUUUCUUGGGCAAAGAAUUCCCCAGUUUGUCUAGGUACUUUUCCAACUAGUUUCAACAUCCCAAACUCUCCCAGUUCAUAUUUCUACUUCUCUGUCCUCUCUAUGGUGAAUAGACAAUGUAACCUAUACCACAUCGCCCUCAAGGCUGGGGAUUAGUCCUCAUUGACACAAUUUGUAAUUUUUGAGUAACUACCAGCAUCCAUGGACGAUUAAGAAUAUAUAUAUAUUAUUAGUAUUAAGAAUAAUUUUUACUGGAAAAUAUAUAUUGAAAGCUUAAAAGAAUGAAUCAUCAUAUAUAUCCUAAAUAAUUAAGGGUUCAAAAAAAUGUGCAGGGAAUUAUUUGCAAUAUUCAGGAUAUUCAAGAAAAUUUCGAGAACUAUUUGAAAAAGUGGAAUAGUUUUGGAUUUUGUUCAGUUGAUGAAAUUAUCAAGAUAUGUUCAGGAUAACUUCAAAAAUUUGAAGAACUUCGUUAUCAAGCACACUACUCCCAGAAAGACAACUUGCCUAUUCACUAUCAAACAAAAGCACGACUAUUUCACAGUGAACAAGUAAGUCAAUGUGCGUGUGAUAUGCAGCACAAACAAAAGCACACUUGCUAGCACCAAUGGGCAGUAGUUAAGUUUUUUAUUUAUUUUAAAAUGAAGGCCAAAACUGAGAUGCAGACAAAAACAGUAGUAAAAAGUGAAGCUCCAUACUGUGAAAAAAGGAGAGGAAAUAAAUAAAGAAAAAAAGAAGACAAACUCUUGUCAUUCACAUACCCUAUUGAAACCUUUAACAUACAACAUUCUCCAACCUAAAUCUUAGCCAAAUUGGCCAAGCUGAUUCAACAAACAUCAUCACCCUAUUCUUAAAUAAUAAGAAAAAACCCAUUCACUCUCUAGGGAAAAAAAAA